GUUCUUACCAGGGGAUUUGUGUGAAUAAGCAGGGAAGUCCCAGUCUUCUUAUUAGAACAGUACCCAUGCAGGCAUCACCCACGAACUUUUGGGCCUCCUCAGGAACUGUUUUAAGAGAAAGAGGGGGCCGGCCAGAUGUUGGUGUGGAGAGGGUGGGGAAAAACCUCCAUUUGAUUGCCUAGAAUUAGAAUAUUUCCAGGUCAACAUUGUCAGUCUCCUCACUCUGACAUGCAGUGAAUCCAGUACCAAAGACUAAAGUCUUUUUCUUUCUUUUCUUUUCUUCUUUCUCUUUCCAUAAAACCGGGUAUUAUUUAAGUCGCUUGAAAGGCUGCACAAACCAACUGUUCCUCCCAGAUGAUACCUUUCAGAGCCUGGGUGAUACGCCUCCUUGGGUUACACCUUCCAUGACUUGUGGUCAGAUGUGGGCUGUGCCAUUCACAUUAUCCUACCUUGCAAGAAAAUAUUUGUAUAUUGGCCUCACCAGGUCCCCAGUUCCUCUGGGAAUCAUCCUGUACACAACAUCUUCACAAGGGUGGCAGACAGUUGGAUCUCUGGCCUUCGUGGGACCACUGGACAUCUGGCAGAGAACCAGAAAACCACUCUUCCUUUCUAAUGAAAAAAAUGCAUGGCAUACAUCAUCAAGAAUCAAAGGUUGUGCCUGGCAGUGUAAUUGACUCUGUAAGAAAGAGAGAAGCUUCGCUAGGUAAGUGGACAGCAUUAUGAGAGGCUUUUUUCACAUCUGCAGA
rnacentral:lncRNA from 1 species